rnacentral:rRNA from 1 species
ACUACGGGAGGCAGCAGUGGGGAAUAUUGCACAAUGGGGGGAACCCUGAUGCAGCAACGCCGCGUGGGUGAAGAAGUACUCCGGUAUGUAAAGCCCUGUCAGCAGGGAAGAAAAUGACGGUACCUGACCAAGAAGCCCCGGCUAACUACGUGCCAGCAGCCGCGGUAAUACGUAGGGGGCAAGCGUUAUCCGGAUUUACUGGGUGUAAAGGGAGCGUAGACGGCAAGGCAAGUCUGGAGUGAAAGCCCGUGGCACAACCACGGGACUGCUUUGGAAACUGUGUUGCUGGAGUGCAGGAGGGGUAAGCGGAAUUCCUAGUGUAGCGGUGAAAUGCGUAGAUAUUAGGAGGAACACCGGUGGCGAAGGCGGCUUACUGGACUGUAACUGACGUUGAGGCUCGAAGGCGUGGGGAGCAAACAGGAUUAGAUACCCGGGUAGUC